GAAGAACUUUAAGGAAUGUCACCUCAAUGUCACUGCAGUGAAGGAUCGACCCGAACCUGAGACAUCGAGUGACACCAGACUGAGAUGGAUCGUUCUCUACUGUGUACUGGGACUGACAGCAGCUCUACUGGUUCUUUAUUAAUUUUAUCUCUGCAU